UGCAAGUCGAACGAAGUAGCAAUACUUAGUGGCAGACGGGUGAGUAACAUGUAGGUAUCUGCCCUUUGGCCUGGAAUAACACGAGGAAACUUGUGCUAAUACCGGAUAAGUCUUUACGGAGAAAGCUUUAUGCACCAUUGGAUGAGCCUGCACUUGAUUAGUUUGUUGGUGGGGUAAUGGCCUACCAAGACUGUGAUCAAUAGCUGAUUUGAGAGGAUGAUCAGCCACAUUGGGACUGAGACACGGCCCAAACUCCUACGGGAGGCAGCAGUGGGGAAUCUUGCACAAUGGAGGAAACUCUGAUGCAGCGAUGCCGCGUGAGUGAAGAAGGCCUUUGGGUUGUAAAGCUCUUUCGUCGGGGAAGAAAAUGACUGUACCCGAAUAAGAAGGUCCGGCUAACUUCGUGCCAGCAGCCGCGGUAAUACGAAGGGACCUAGCGUAGUUCGGAAUUACUGGGCUUAAAGAGUUCGUAGGUGGUUGAAAAAGUUAGUGGUGAAAUCCCAGAGCUUAACUCUGGAACUGCCAUUAAAACUUUUCAGCUAGAGUAUGAUAGAGGAAAGCAGAAUUUCUAGUGUAGAGGUGAAAUUCGUAGAUAUUAGAAAGAAUACCAAUUGCGAAGGCAGCUUUCUGGAUCAUUACUGACACUGAGGAACGAAAGCAUGGGUAGCGAAGAGGAUUAGAUACCCUCGUAGUCCAUGCCGUAAACGAUGUGUGUUAGACGUUGGAAAUUUAUUUUCAGUGUCGCAGGGAAACCGAUAAACACACCGCCUGGGGAGUACGACCGCAAGGUUAAAACUCAAAUGAAUUGACGGGGACCCGCACAAGUAGUGGAGCAUGUGGUUUAAUUCGAAGAUACGCGCAGAACCUUACCAACACUUGACAUGUUCGUCGCGACUCUAAGAGAUUAGAGUUUUCGGUUCGGCCGGACGAAACACAGGUGCUGCAUGGCUGUCGUCAGCUCGUGUCGUGAGAUGUUGGGUUAAGUCCCGCAACGAGCGCAACCCUCACUUUUAGUUGCCAUCAUUAAGUUGGGCACUCUGAAAGAACUGCCAGUGAUAAGCUGGAGGAAGGUGGGGAUGACGUCAAGUCCUCAUGGCCCUUACGUGUUGGGCUACACACGUGCUACAAUGGCAUCUACAACAGGAAGCAAAACGGCAACGUUAAGCAAAUCCCGAAAAGAUGCCUCAGUUCGGAUUGCACUCUGCAACUCGAGUGCAUGAAGCUGGAAUUACUAGUAAUCGUGGAUCAGCGUGCCACGGUGAAUGCGUUCCCGGGUCUUGUACACACCGCCCGUCACACCAUGGGAGUUGGUUCUACCUUAAG
rnacentral:rRNA from 1 species